AUUUUAUUAGUAUAAUAAGUACAAAUGACUUCCAAUCAUUAAGUUAAAAAAUUAAUAAAAUA
rnacentral:tRNA from 1 species